CCCUUAGAUGUUCUGGGCCGCACGCGUGCUACACUGAACGGUUCAAUGGGUAAGGUAGUGCGAAAGCAUGACCUAAUCUCGAAAUCCGUUCGUGCUGGGGAUAGAAGCUUGCAAUUAUCCUUCUUGAACGAGGAAUACCUUGUAAGCGUGAGUCAUCAUCUCACGCUGAAUACGUCCCUGCCCUUUGUACACACCGCCCGUCGCUCCUACCGAUUGAGUGUUCCGGUGAGGCUUUGGGAGAAUGGCCUCAACAUGAGUUUAUCGUGUUUUGCCGUUUGAACUUAGUCAAACCUUAUCACUUAGAGGAAGGAGAAGUCGUAAC
rnacentral:rRNA from 1 species